CCUACGGGAGGCAGCAGUGGGGGAUAUUGCACAAUGGGGGAAACCCUGAUGCAGCGACGCCGCGUGUGGGAAGACGGUCCUCUGGAUUGUAAACCACUGUCCCCAGGGACGAAGAUGACGGUACCUGGGGAGGAAGCUCCGGCUAACUACGUGCCAGCAGCCGCGGUAAUACGUAGGGAGCGAGUGUUGUUCGGAAUUACUGGGUGAAAAGGGGGCGUAGGCGGGGAUGCAAGUUGGGUGUCAAAACUACCGGCUCAACUGGUAGUCGCACUCAAAACUGCAGCUUUUGAGUGAAGUAGAGGCAGGCGGAAUUCCUAGUGUAGCGGUGAAAUGCGUAGAUAUUAGGAGGAACACCAGUGGCGAAGGCGGCCUGCUGGGCUUUUACUGACGCUGAGGCUCGAAAGUGUGGGGAGCAAACAGGAUUAGAUACCCGAGUAGUC
rnacentral:rRNA from 1 species